GACGAACGCUGGCGGCGCGCCUAACACAUGCAAGUCGAACGGAGCUGAGAGAAGCUUGCUUUUCUUAGCUUAGUGGCGAACGGGUGAGUAACGCGUGAGUAACCUGCCCUGGAGUGGGGGACAACAGUUGGAAACGACUGCUAAUACCGCAUAAGCCCACGAUCCGGCAUCGGAUUGAGGGAAAAGGAUUUAUUCGCUUCAGGAUGGACUCGCGUCCAAUUAGCAAGUUGGUGAGGUAACGGCCCACCAAGGCGACGAUUGGUAGCCGGACUGAGAGGUUGAACGGCCACAUUGGGACUGAGACACGGCCCAGACUCCUACGGGAGGCAGCAGUGGGGGAUAUUGCACAAUGGGGGAAACCCUGAUGCAGCGACGCCGCGUGGAGGAAGAAGGUUUUCGGAUUGUAAACUCCUGUCGUUAGGGACGAUAAUGACGGUACCUAACAAGAAAGCACCGGCUAACUACGUG
rnacentral:rRNA from 1 species